rnacentral:lncRNA from 1 species
AUUUAUUUUUGCUCUAACCUCUGACUUUAAAUAUCUAGUUUACCUAUUAUUUUUUCUCAUUCAUUGACAAGAAUGAGUCUUUUGGUUCAGUAGAAAGACUUUAGCUUACCCAUAAGUCUGAUGUUUGAAUCCUAUGGGUGUAAAGUAAAAAUACUUUUGCUAUUCUUUGUCUGUGCCGACCCAUGUGGUCAGAAUUUGUGUUAAAUUCAAAUUUUGAAAAAUCUAAUAGUUUAGGAUUUGUUGGGUAGUUUUUUUUUCAAAAUAAACUCGAGAAGUGUGCUCUUAAAUUUUCUCUCACUCCUACCGUUCCCUUUCCUCUCUUGCUCACGUCAAUUUUUCUUUUCUUUUUCUUCCUUUCCCUUUCUUUUCGUAUUUGAUAUGGUAAAUUGUUGCACGUUAUCAUUCGUCGCCUUGUGCUUUUUGUUCGUUUUAGUCGAGCAAAUUUGGGUGUUUUAGCAUUGUGUUUACAUAAACUUGUAAGUGCACUACUUCCUCUUCUUUGGGGUUAUUUGUAUGACUAUUAUUGUUUUAAUUAUUUAGGUUUCUAAAAGAAAGGUAGGAAAAGUGUGGCGGCCGAUUAGUUAUGCAUUGAAUGUAAAUUCGUUGUUUCUGAUUAGGCGGAGAUCGGGAGGCGAUUAACCCUCCAACGAGCUAAGGGUUUGUAAGGCUGUUGUUUCUUUCAAGGGUAAGUGAUUAAUGCCCUAUUUAAGGUCGAAUCUCCGUGUUAAGGUCAAAUAGUUAGCGUUUGCGAUCGAAAAAUGUUUGGAUUUUUAGUAUGUCGCUAUUAAUUCAGUUGCUUUAAAUACUAUUUUAGGGUUUAAAAUUUUGUCGUUGUGUCGCUAUUUAGAAAUGAUCAGGUAUACACGUCCUGAAAAGCAACGAAUGGUGCGAAGCCGAAAAUUAUUUUGUUGACACCACAUGAUCGUGUGCCAGACAGUGUGAGCCACACGACCAAUAUAAUUAAUCUGCCUUAUUUGGUGGCUCAGCCACUUAUAUUUGUUUCUGGCGGGUUAUUGCAUUUUGAUCUGGCAGCUAAUCUGCAUAUUUCCUGUAAAGUGACAUAUGAUCACUUAACGGUGUGUGGGGCUGGAUGGGUAUUUAAUACCCAUGGAUGGUUGGAGAUGGUAUGUAGCAGAUGGGGUAGGAUCUAAAUCUGUAUCUGUUAUGCAUCUGAAUCUAUAUUUGUUAUGCAUUUGUGUCUGUAUUUGCUUCCUAAAUCUAUUAAAACAUGUGUAUCUGAUUUAUUGUUUGAACUAAGUUACACACUGAGCUCGUAAGCUCACUUUCUAAUUGUUUGUUUUCAAGUAAUCCUCAAACAUAGGACGGAUUGGUGCGACGUGAGCUCGAUUAUUUAUAUUUGCUUUGGAUUCCUUUAACUUUACUCAGUUUAAAUUGUUUUGUUACGUUGGACA